AGAUGUGAGAGCAAUCUGGCUGAGACAUUUGCUGCCCCUUUGUUCAUCAGCGCUGACUCGGCUGAGCUGACUGGGGAGGCAGAUGUCCCCUUCCUUCCUCACCGCUCU
rfam:Chlorocebus sabaeus isolate 1994-021 chromosome 11, whole genome shotgun sequence.